GCGCCUGUAGCUCAACUGGAUAGAGCACCUGCCUUCUAAGCAGGGGGUCGGGGGUUCGAGCCCCUCCAGGCGCG
rnacentral:tRNA from 1 species